AUAUUGGACAAUGGGCGCAAGCCUGAUCCAGCCAUGCCGCGUGUGUGAAGAAGGCCUUCGGGUUGUAAAGCUCUUUCAGAUGUGAAGAUGAUGACGGUAGCAUCAGAAGAAGCUCCGGCUAACUCCGUGCCAGCAGCCGCGGUAAUACGGAGGGAGCGAGCGUUGUUCGGAAUUACUGGGCGUAAAGCGUAUGUGGGCGGUUUUGUAAGACAGGCGUGAAAUCCCAGGGCUUAACCUUGGAACUGCGUUUGUGACUGCAAGACUUGAGUGUCGGAGAGGUUGGCGGAAUUCCUAGUGUAGAGGUGAAAUUCGCAGAUAUUAGGAGGAACACCGAUGGCGUAAGCAGCCAACUGGACGACUACUGACGCUGAGAUACGAAAGCGUGGGGAGCAAACAGG
rnacentral:rRNA from 1 species